AUACGUAGGUGGCGAGCGUUAUUCGGAUUUAUUGGGCGUAAAGGGUCCGCAGGGGGUUUGUUAAGUCCGGUGUGAAAUCCCACGGCUCAACCGUGGAACUGCACUGGAUACUGGCAGACUAGAGCACAGGAGAGGAAAGCGGAAUUCCUGGUGUAGCGGUGGAAUGCGUAGAUAUCAGGAGGAACACCGAUGGCGAAGGCGGCUUCCUGGCCCGCAACUGACGCUGAAUCACGAAAGCGUGGGGAGCAAACAGGAUUAGAAACCCUAGUAGUCC
rnacentral:rRNA from 1 species